CGAAGGCGGCCCCUGGACAAGACUGACGCUCAGUGCGAAAGCGUGGGGAGCAAACAGGAUUAGAUACCUGGUAGUCACGCUGUAAACGAUGUCGAUUUGGAGGUUGUUCCCUUGAGGAGUGGCUUCCGGAGCUAACGCGUUAAAUCGACCGCUGGGGAGUACGGCCGCAAGGUUAAAACUCAAAUGAAUUGACGGGGGCCCGCACAAGCGGUGGAGCAUGUGGUUUAAUUCGAUGCAACGCGAAGAACCUUACCUACUCUUGACAUCCAGAGAAUUUAGCAGAGAUGCUUUAGUGCCUUCGGGAACUCUGAGACAGGUGCUGCAUGGCUGUCGUCAGCUCGUGUUGUGAAAUGUUGGGUUAAGUCCCGCAACGAGCGCAACCCUUAUCCUUUGUUGCCAGCACAUUAUGGUGGGAACUCAAAGGAGACUGCCGGUGAUAAACCGGAGGAAGGUGGGGAUGACGUCAAGUCAUCAUGGCCCUUACGAGUAGGGCUACACACGUGCUACAAUGGCGUAUACAAAGAGAAGCGACCUCGCGAGAGCAAGCGGAACUCAUAAAGUACGUCGUAGUCCGGAUUGGAGUCUGCAACUCGACUCCAUGAAGUCGGAAUCGCUAGUAAUCGUAGAUCAGAAUGCUACGGUGAAUACGUUCCCGGGCCUUGUACACACCGCCCGUCACACCAUGGGAGUGGGUUGCAAAAGAAGUAGGUAGCUUAACCUUCGGGAGGGCGCUUACCACUUUGUGAUUCAUGACUGGGGUGAAGUCGUAACAAGGUAACCA
rnacentral:rRNA from 1 species